UUCCGCCGGAAGUGGUCAGGCGCCUGAAACUGAGCGUCUUCGGUCAUCUCCGGCGCUUCGAGGGGCGGUUCCUGUAGUGUUCCGGAGCCGUGGAGCGCUAGGCGCCGACUACCUCCGCUCGUCUUUUCCUUCGCUGCCACCCGGUUCCUGGGAUCAGCCGACGGCAUGGGUUUUGGAGACCUGAAAAGCCCCGCCGGUCUCCAGGUGCUCAACGACUACCUAGCGGACAAGAGCUACAUCGAGGGGUAUGUGCCGUCACAAGCAGACGUGGCAGUAUUUGAGGCAGUCUCCGGCCCCCCACCUGCCGACUUGUAUCAUGCCCUCCGUUGGUAUAAUCACAUCAAGUCUUAUGAAAAGGAGAAGGCCAG